GUGAGUGUAGCUCAGCAGGUCAGAGCGCCUGACUGUGGAUCAGGUGGUCGCGGGUUCAAGUCCCGCCACUCACCCCA
rnacentral:tRNA from 1 species